rnacentral:ncRNA from 1 species
CCUGUACUCACAGGACGGGAUGUGAACCUGAAUCCAGGUUUGAACCACUCA